rnacentral:lncRNA from 1 species
UGCUCAUUAUCAAGAAGGUUUUAAGAAUCGUUUACCACAAGGAACCAGAUUGGUUCCUUAACCUUUCAUGAAACCGGCCAUGCUUUGUUGGACUUGAGAGUGUGGAUCGUCACCCACCUCCUUCACCUUCAGUUCAUGGCCUCCAUCUUGUACCAUCAGCUUCAAAGACCCCUCCUUUCUUCAUCUCCACUAGGCGCCAAGCUCUUGACACCAUCUUCUUUGGAACCGGAUGUGUUCUUCUCUUGGACAAGGCGCCUUGGUACAAGGAUAGCUAGGCCUUGUCCAUACACCUCUGCUUCCAAGGAGAAUCACCAUCAGGACAGGAAGAGAACAGGAUGAGGAACCAUGAGAACUCGCCAAGCUUCAGUCUUCUUCUUCAUAAGGAGCUGAACCGGAUGGAGAGAGCUUCAAUGGUUUGGAUUUGAGCUGAGGAGAGAGCAGUGUGUUUGCGGAAGCUUCAGCUCAGGUUCUG